GAACCUGCGGAAGGAUCAUUAUUGAAAUAAACCUGAUGGGUUGUUGCUGGUUCUCUAGGAGAGCAUGUGCACGCCCUUCAGGUCUAUCUUGCUUUUUCAUUUACCCCCCCAAUGUAUGUUAAUAGAAUGUUGUGACUAUAAAAUCUAUACAACUUUCAGCAACGGAUCUCUUGGCUCUCGCAUCGAUGAAGAACGCAGCGAAAUGCGAUAAGUAAUGUGAAUUGCAGAAUUCAGUGAAUCAUCGAAUCUUUGAACGCACCUUGCGCUCCUUGGUAUUCCGAGGAGCAUGCCUGUUUGAGUGUCAUUAAUAUAUAUCAACCUUCUCUUUACUGAGUGGUUUGGAUGUGGGGGUUUGCUGGCCUCUUAUAUGAGUUCAGCUCCCCUGAAAUGCAUUAGCAGAACAACCUGUUCGUUGGCGUGAUAACUAUCUACGCUAUUGAAUGUGAGGGACAGUUCAGCUUUCUAACAGUCCUUGGACAACUUAUCAUUUAUGUGACCUCAAAUCAGGUAGGACUACCCGCUGAACUUAAGCAUAUCAAUAAGCGGAGGAA
rnacentral:rRNA from 1 species